rnacentral:lncRNA from 1 species
UUUCAGCUUUUCCCCUGAGAAAGGGUCCCUCAUAGCAUUGUGUUUGCUAUUGCACUUGAGGAUGGUCUUUAACUUGUGACCUUGCCUCUGCCUCUGCCUCUCUGCCUCUGCCUCUGCCGAUUACAAACAUUCCCCACCACACCCAGUCUUACUUGUUGCUAAGAAUUGAACCCAGGGCUUCGUGCAUGCUAAGCAAGCUACUGACCAAGCUACAUCUCAGUCCUAUUUAGCUAUUGUUAAUAUUAAAAAAAGAAAAAAGCUUCCUUUUCUAAAUUGUCAAUAUUUUUAAACAACUCAGUUUACACUAUUCGUAUUGUACAAUUUUUAAAAGUAUUUUCAUCAGCCUCCAAGUUAACAUUCUAGUUUUACAAUACUUUUUAUGUUUUUUAUUAUGACGCUAAAUUGUUGGCAACUCUUUAAUAGAAAAACAAGAUUUUUUGUGAUAUUUGAUUUAAAAAUUAAUAUUUACGCACAUACUCAUUAUUUGUAUCUCAGUGUGUAUGUCUGCCUUGGGAGCAGGCAGCAAGCAGGUGACUACUAGAUUGUUUCUGGAGAGAAGCUUAAGGUAGCAGACCUGCUGCGUGCUCCGCCCUGCUCGCAUGUGGCAGAUCAGCCUCAGCCCCAGCCCAGUAGGCUUGUCAGGGUGCGGGUUUGUGAACGAGCAGCCUGUGUACCAUAAGGUGCUGGGCCUGGCUCUGCUUCUCUGGUGACCUGUGUCACAUGAGUUUCAUGCACCAAAUUCUUGGAGAACAAAGGUAUUCCAAGAGGGGCACUUUCAAGUCUGUGUUGUUGGCACAAGUGAAAUAUCAAGUAUAUGUAAUCAAAACCAGCUGUCUUUGUAAGACGUGCCACUACACAGGACCUUUGGUUUGGUUUGGUUUUGAUUUUGUUGUUGUUUAUUUUUCUUAAUUUUUUUUUAAAGAAAAGAAUACAAACAAAUAUAGAGCCGAGAUUCCAAAUGCCUCCUUCCGAAGCUCACAGCCAACUUCUCCCUGGAUCAGCCUGAAGCAGUAGCGGGAAGGGCUGGGUCAGGAUCAUUUAACCUCACACAGAUCAGUUUAAUGCCUCCCCUGAAUGCUGGGGGACUUGAUUGCCAAGUCUGCUAUAUUAAAUAAUAAGAAAGCACUUUGAUUCAAAAUUAUAUGAUGACCUAAUUAGGUUUAUCAACUGAAAAAUCUAGUUUAUAUUCAUGCCAUUUAGUCUUUGUGAUCAGUUAAUUACUAGUUGAGGUGAAGGAAACAAGAAUUUGACCUCAGUAUGUAUUUCUCCUGUGCUAAUUACAUUUCCUUCUGUUGCUGUACACUGCCUGUCCUUCCUCUGUCACAGUAUAAAUACUCCAAAACAGUUACCUCAAAAUAACAUACUCUUGUUACUUUGAUAGUGUCUUUUACAAGUGUUUAUUAAAUUUAGAGAGUGGGUGAUGCUUCCGUGGAUAAAAGCAUGGGCCAUGAAACCUGACCCCAGAGCUCCAUCAUUGUUGCCAGACCCCCAUAGGAAAGAGAGCCAGUUACCCACAAGUGUUCUCUGCUCUCCACCAGAGCACCAUGGCACACACCCAUACACAAUGCAUGGAUAGAUGAUAGAUGGACGACAUACAGACAGUGAUGGAGCUUUUUAAAUAAAAUUGUAAAAUGGUUCUGGUGUCAUUACAGAUAUCUCAGGAGCACUAUACACUCGAUCUGUGGUAGUUAUUUAGCACAACAGUCGCAAGUGUUUAUUGAAUAAAUGAAAGAAAUCUGUUUUGUGGUUGUGCGUGUGAGUACACUUGAUCUUUUUUCCAGGGCCCUGUUAUGCCAGGGAGCCAUUCGGUGGAGAGGUUUGUCAUCGAGGAGAAUCUUCACUGCAUCAUCAAGUCCUACUGGAAGGAAAGGAAGACUUGGUAAGGUCCCUCUGCAGUACUCUAAAGGGGGUAGGAAGGCACCGUGGUUCUUUCAUAAGAAUAGACUAUGUGUUGAGAUAGCCUAGCAAGCAUGAGGCCCAGCGUUGAGGUACCCACGUAACAGUCAGGUGUGGGCACUCAGCGUUAGCUCAGUUCUGGAAACACUGAUGCAGGAGUGUCCCCAGAGGCUGCUGUCCCACCAGUCAGGCCAGCCUGCGCACCCCAGGUAUUUUGUUUGAAAUAUUUUUCUAUGUGUAUGGGUAUUUUCCAUGCAUGUAUAGCUGUAUACCAGAUGUGCAUCCGGUGCUCUCAAAGGCCAUAAGAGAGCUUUGAAUCAUCUGGAAAUGGGGUUACAGACCGUUGUGAGCUGCCAAGUGGGUGCUGGAGUGGAGCCUGGGUCCUCUGGAAGAGCAGCCAGUCCUCUUAACUGCUGAGCCAUCUCUCCAGUCCCUGAAGCCCAGAUGUAGUGAGAAGCACUUGCAGAAGACAGGACUCUUGACCUCUGAACAGUCCUACACACACACCCACACACACCAAAUAAGCUACAAUUGAAGAGUAGGCUGGUUUUAUUUGGAUGUGUGGAAAUUAAAGCAUACUAUAUCUGUUUUUGUUUUUGUUUUUCUGUUUUCUAGCAUUUAGAAACCUAAGUGUUAAUAAAUUUUCAUAGGGCUGGAAAGUUUUGGCUUAGACUUUGAGGAGAAAUGUAUUUAGGAGUGGAGCACCUAGGUCAGUAGAUUGGAAGGUGCUGGUAUUAUUACUUUGUUUCCAUUUUGUGUGUAAGACAAUUCACGCCAUGUUAAUAAAUAACUAGAACAUUACAGCGGAGAAUUUUUUCAUCUCAGUUCACUAUAUUUAGGCCUGUUGGGUUUCAUGUACCUUUGUAGACUUACUAACUUACAUCACUUUUUACAGCGCUGCCCAGCUGGUGAGCUAUCCAGGGAAGAACAAGAUCCCCUUGAACUACCACAUAGUGGAGGUACGCAUGCCAUGGGGUGCUGAGCCUCACUUUCCCGGUAUUCAUCGGGCUCUGAGAAUGAACAGAGGGGGUAAGGAAGUGGCCAGCAGCUUUGGUUCUCAGUCAGCCUUGCUAGG